rnacentral:rRNA from 1 species
GUUUUUUUAGAAAUAAAUUUAAUUUACAAAUUUUUAAUUUUUUNUUUAUUUAUUAAAAUAAAAAAAUUAUUAAUUUGAAUAUUUUAAGGGAUAAGCUUUAAAAUAAAUUAUUAAAAAUUAGUAAUUCUAAUAUAAAAUGUAUGAAUAGAAUUUUCAAUCAUUUAUAAAUUUGUUAUAAAUUAUUUUAUAAUUUAUAUUAUUUACUAUUAUUUUAAGUUUUUAUAAAAAUUUUUUUAUAAAUUUUUUAUGAAAAUUAAUAAUGAUAAAAUUAGUAUAUUUUAUAUGUAUAUAUAAUUUUAUUUGAUAAGUUUAUAUAAAGAACUCGGCAAAUUUAUAUACUCGCCUGUUUAACAAAAACAUGUCUUUUUGAGUUAUUUUUAAAGUCUGACCUGCCCACUGAAUAAUUUUGAAUGGCCGCAGUAUUUUAACUGUGCAAAGGUAGCAUAAUCAUUAGUCUUUUAAUUGGAGGCUGGUAUGAAUGGUUGGACGAAGUAUAAUCUGUUUCAUGUAAAUUUAUUAUAGAAUUUUAUAUUUUAGUUAAAAAGCUAAAAUAUAAUUAAAAGACGAGAAGACCCUAUAAAUCUUUAUAUUUAAUAUUAUUUUAAUUUUUUAGAUAUAUUUUAUUUUAAUAUUAUUAAAUAUUUUGUUGGGGUGAUGUUAAAAUUUAAUAAACUUUUAAUUAUUAAAAAUCAUUAAUUUAUGAUUUGUUGAUCCGUUAAUAACGAUUAUAAGAUUAAGUUACUUUAGGGAUAACAGCGUAAUUUUUUUGGAGAGUUCUUAUCGAUAAAAAAGUUUGCGACCUCGAUGUUGGAUUAAGAUAUAUUUUUAGGUGUAGUCGCUUAAAUGUU